UGUGGGAGCGGGCUUGCUCGCGAUGGAAUCAACUUGGUAUACCUGAUACACCGAGUUGCCUGAAUCGCGAGCAAGCUCGCUCCCACA
rnacentral:misc_RNA from 1 species